GUGAGGAAUAUUGGUCAAUGGACGAGAGUCUGAACCAGCCAAGUCGCGUGAAGGAAGACGGUUCUAUGAAUUGUAAACUUCUUUUGUGCAGGAAUAAAGUGGGUUACGUGUAACCUUUUGUAUGUACUGUACGAAUAAGGAUCGGCUAACUCCGUGCCAGCAGCCGCGGUAAUACGGAGGAUCCGAGCGUUAUCCGGAUUUAUUGGGUUUAAAGGGUGCGUAGGUGGAUUGAUAAGUCAGCGGUGAAAGUUUGCAGCUUAACUGUAAAAUUGCAGUGGAAACUGUCGGUCUUGAGUGCAAAUGAGGUAGGCGGAAUGUGUUGUGUAGCGGUGAAAUGCUUAGAUAUAACACAGAACUCCGAUUGCGAAGGCAGCUUACUGGGAUGCAACUGACACUGAUGCACGAAAGCGUGGGUAUCAAACAGGAUUAGAAACCCUGGUAGUCC
rnacentral:rRNA from 1 species